CCUCUCGAUCUCAUCUGGACAUCCAGCCCCGCCCCGCCCCUCACAGCCGUCCGCCGCCGCCUCCUACCCUGCCGCCGCGCCUACCCCUACACCAAGUGCCAACACACCCGCGCCCAUCCACUACCGGGAACCCGCGGCCUUCUACCGCCGGCGGCACUCGACGUCGCGACCAUUGGCGGCUCCCCGACCUUGCUACCAUGGCGCCGCCGGGACUCCUCCCCGCUGCUUCCACCUCGACAUUGGUUUCCCCAACCCCGCUGGCUUCGCCACCAGCCACUCCUUCUAGGCACACUCUAUCUGCCGACGGACCCAUCCGCCUGGUUCCAAUGGUGAACAUCGCCGCCACCCUAUUGUGAGGCGAGGUGAUGUUCUUCGAACUGCCGGCUUGAUUCUGCCUAGGUAAUUUCUUCUUUCUACUGUACCACUUCAUAGAAAAAUUUGACUGCCUAAAAAUUCCCCAAUUUGGUACACUUUUUUUAUCAGAGUGAUCUUUUCAACGGAAAUUAUACUUUGAUCCUAUCCAAUCUUACUGUGACAGUAAUAUAUUCCCCUUUCCUUUAUAUGAAAGGAAAAUUGCGGCUCUUUAUCAUGUUGUCAUUAUAUUGUAACCGUGUGCAAGUGUGUUCAGUUCAACUAGAUGUAACUCAUUGACAUAUGAGAUUCCAUUGGGCCUGAUAAUCUUGAAUUUUGCUUCACAAUUUAAAAUGUAGUAUUAGACCUAGAGUUUUUAUGUAUUACAGAACCUGUCCUGUAAAUAUGCCAGUUACAAAUAAAGGUGAUAUUGAUGUGGAAACGCAACACACAUGUAGUAGAUGAAUUGUAUGAAGUAAAUCGCCUUGGAAUGAUGGUUGCUGAAUGUUACAAUUAUAGUCAUCUACCUGGACGACCUUUAAGCACCAAUAGCUUAAUCCUUUUAGGUUUUGUUCUUCUUUCUUCAGUACAAACAUAAUAUUGUUUGGUGCUUCCCAAUACUUGGAUGUGAAAAAUAAAGAAGUUUUACAUUUUAAGAACUAAUAGAUUUUUAACAAGAAAAUAUGGUCCAAGUGGGACUACUACUUCUAAAUAUUUUGUCUUUCACAGAAGGGGAUAUCGUACUUCUCCUAAUCAGGAUUGUUGUGUAACUGAAUGAUGGUAGGAUGCUGAAUAAUAAUGGAAGAAAAAGGAGUACAUGCUUUACCUAAUGUACCUACAGCAACAAUGGGUUGCCCCACCAAACAUCACUAGAGGACUAGGAAGGAAAACGGUGAUUUCUCAAUCAGGUUCUAUUAGCCAUUCUAGCAUUAGCAUCAUGAAGAUUCUGGAACAGUGCACGACAUGCCCAAUCCCAAGGUCUUCCCUCAGCUGGUGAAGCACAUGAGCCGGUGUCAAGCAAUAUCCCCUGUAUACUUUGUCCUUGUGUUCUUUCCAAGUAUGAAUCCAUAUCAGCUGCAUCACGGAGCUCCAUGCACAGUGGUACUACUUCCGAACGUGUAGAACAUGCAAUUGUAUGUAAAUCGCCUUGAAAUGAUGGUUGCUGGAUACUGCAUUAUGCUUGAUAGUCAUCUACCUGGACGACUUCAAGCGCUAAUAGGUAAAUCCUUUUAGAUUUUGUAGUUCUUUUCAGUACAGAGAUAAUUCUGUUUCUUGCUUCCCAAUUUUUGGACGACAAAACAGAGAGGCUUUACAUUAUAAAAGUUACAGUAAUAGAUUAUAAAUAAGAAAAUAAGGUCCAAGCCAGACUCCAACUUAUAAAGGUUUUGUCUUUCACGUAAGGGGAUAUCAUACUUCAUCUAAUCAUGGUUGUCGUGUAACCUAAUGAUGGUUAGUUACUACAUCCAUAGAGAAAAUGAACAUGGAGAUAUUCUCAUGUCAUAGUUUCCAGCGAUGAGAAUGGGCUACCUGACAUUGCUCGGCUGCUGAAACUGAGCAAACUUUGUGUAGUUAUUCAUGGUAGAAAUUCCUACUUAAAUUAUCUAUUUCGCCAAAUUGAGAAACUGCAUACAUGCCUUCGUCAAUGCGCAAUCGAACAGCCGCCAGGUGGUGAUGAGAGGACUACUAAAAGCAAGGGAAACACACUUAAGUUUGCUAUCCACAGUUUCUUCAGAAUCUAAAUACCAGUGGCAUCACAAGUGGGCUUCUCAAUUAAUCCAAAAGAUCCAUCAGGUUGCAAAGAUAAAAACAAUGAACAGAACAUAUCUGAAAGCGGCCCGAGCAUCCUCUACUACUUUCUUUAGAUGUUAUUUAUCUUGCUCUGUGUUGACAUAUUUUCUUCUUCCGUAGAUGCAAAGCAUCCAGGAUGUGAUCAAUCAUAUGUUGGAGAAUGGCAUUGAGACCUUACUUCACUGGAUAAUGGCAUUUAUAUGCGAUUCCAGUCCUUUCACAGUGCAGGUGAACUGGAAAUUCUAUCAAAGACAACUGUCCUUUCUUCAGUGUACAUGCAUGAUAUUACAUGAUUAAACAUACCAUCUUUAACUUCAUUUAGUUGUCUAUAUUAUGCUCUAUGUGCUAUUACCAACAAAAAUAGUGUUACCUCCGUACCAGGCCUUCCAAAUAUCUUAUAUUUUGGUACGGAGGUAGUACUUUUAGCCUGCAAAGCGAAUCCUAUGCCCAUUGUGGCAAUAAUGUGUUUGCACCACUAAAGAGAUAACUUAUUUUUUCAAUUGUAAGAAACACAUCAUUUAAGUGUGUGCCAUGUUAUCUUUGUUCAUGUUGCUGGCUGUACAUUUUCAGUAUUCUCAGGAUAUAUCUGAUUAUGAUGAUGUUCCGUACUGCUCUGGAGCCGACAACUUUUUGGACUGCUCGAUGUUUAUAACCAAUGAGACUACUUUUUUGGUUGUUGGCUGGAGCUAUCACUAUGACUGAAAUUUUCUUUUCACCCAAGUAAAUUUAUAUGGUCAUCAAAAACCAAUGACAGGUCAACACUUGUCAGCAGUUUGCAAUUUGUAUUACAGUAUGCCUAAGACAAUGUUCAGACAAUGUUCUUUUAGUUAGGAAAUGCAGAAAACGUGAUCAUGAUUUAUGUAGAUUGGACAGUCCCUUCAAACUGCAGUCUUUGAUCUAGAGUGGACAAUCUAACUAUAUGUUUCCUUUUAGAAAAUGACUAUAUGUUCCAUGAAUUCACUGCUUAUUUUGGCCAGAUCAGAUUAAACUAGGUCUUGAUUUCAAGGUUCAGUUAAGGCAGUUGGUGCAGGUUUGUUUGCUGUAAUACUAACUGUGCUAUUUAGACAGAGACAUUUGCUCUUUCUCAUUCCUCGACAUUUUCCUUUGCUACAAAGAUUUUUCAUUCUAGGUUGUGGAAAACGCAUGUAGUGUUCCUUCUACAAGUCGUCAUGAGCUGGGACAUAGAAGAAGAGAGCCGACGAGAAGUCGCAAAGCGGUUCGCUCCGGUGUCGCUGCCAAUGGCGCUGCACAAAGUGCAGAUUGCAGGCUAGAUGCGUACAAGUCCGUCCCUACUUCCAUGAGUCAAUUAGAUAGUAUAUUUGGUUAUGAAAGUUAUCUUUUGUGUAUACAGUUUUGCCAUUAUUUUGUAAAACCUUUGAGUUCUUGAUAAUGUAAUUUUCUUACUAAUCACACUUUUAAUUGAUUUGUGCCGAGGCUAAUAGCCAAGUUAUGCACAAACUGUUCAUGUUUCCUUGAUGACUGCUAUUGUCAGAAGAUUUUUUUCAGCAUUUAA